rnacentral:misc_RNA from 1 species
GGGGGAGGGGGCUUGCUCCCGAUAGCGGUGCAUCAGUCAGCUUAUCUACAAGCUGGCCCACCGCAAUCGGGAGCAAGCCCCCUCCCAC